GACGAACGCUGGCGGCGUGCUUAACACAUGCAAGUCGAACGGAAAGGCCCUGCUUUUGUGGGGUGCUCGAGUGGCGAACGGGUGAGUAACACGUGAGUAGCCUGCCCUUGACUUUGGGAUAACUUCAGGAAACUGGGGCUAAUACCGGAUAGGAGCUCCUGCUGCAUGGUGGGGGUUGGAAAGUUUCGGCGGUUGGGGAUGGACUCGCGGCUUAUCAGCUUGUUGGUGGGGUAGUGGCUUACCAAGGCUUUGACGGGUAGCCGGCCUGAGAGGGUGACCGGCCACAUUGGGACUGAGAUACGGCCCAGACUCCUACGGGAGGCAGCAGUGGGGAAUAUUGCACAAUGGGCGGAGGCCUGAUGCAGCAACGCCGCGUGCGGGAUGACGGCCUUCGGGUUGUAAACCGCUUUCGCCUGUGACGAAGCGUGAGUGACGGUAAUGGGUAAAGAAGCACCGGCUAACUACGUG
rnacentral:rRNA from 1 species